rnacentral:rRNA from 1 species
CCUCCCACCCGUGUCUAUCGUACCUUGUUGCUUCGGCGGGCCCGCCGUUUCGACGGCCGCCGGGGAGGCCUUGCGCCCCCGGGCCCGCGCCCGCCGAAGACCCCAACAUGAACGCUGUUCUGAAAGUAUGCAGUCUGAGUUGAUUAUCGUAAUCAGUUAAAACUUUCAACAACGGAUCUCUUGGUUCCGGCAUCGAUGAAGAACGCAGCGAAAUGCGAUAAGUAAUGUGAAUUGCAGAAUUCAGUGAAUCAUCGAGUCUUUGAACGCACAUUGCGCCCCCUGGUAUUCCGGGGGGCAUGCCUGUCCGAGCGUCAUUGCUGCCCUCAAGCACGGCUUGUGUGUUGGGCCCCCGUCCCCCUCUCCCGGGGGACGGGCCCGAAAGGCAGCGGCGGCACCGCGUCCGGUCCUCGAGCGUAUGGGGCUUUGUCACCUGCUCUGUAGGCCCGGCCGGCGCCAGCCGACACCCAACUUUAUUUUUCUAAGGUUGACCUCGGAUCAGGUAGGGAUACCCGCUGAACUUAAGCAUAUCAUAGGCGGGGAGAAA